UACGGGGAGAGCAAGCGUUGUUCGGAUUUACUGGGCGUAAAGGGCGCGUAGGCGGCACUGCAAGUCAGUUGUGAAAUCUCCGGGCUUAACCCGGAAAGGUCAACUGAUACUGCAGGGCUAGAGUGCAGAAGGGGCAACUGGAAUUCUCGGUGUAGCGGUGAAAUGCGUAGAUAUCGAGAGGAACACCUGCGGCGAAGGCGGGUUGCUGGGCUGACACUGACGCUGAGGCGCGAAAGCCAGGGGAGCGAACAGG
rnacentral:rRNA from 1 species